ACGGGAGGCAGCAGUGGGGAAUAUUGCACAAUGGGGGAAACCCUGAUGCAGCGACGCCGCGUGAGUGAAGAAGUAUUUCGGUAUGUAAAGCUCUAUCAGCAGGGACGAAAAUGACGGUACCUGACUAAGAAGCCCCGGCUAACUACGUGCCAGCAGCCGCGGUAAUACGUAGGGGGCAAGCGUUAUCCGGAUUUACUGGGUGUAAAGGGAGCGUAGACGGUUCGGCAAGUCUGAUGUGAAAUCCCAGGGCUCAACUCUGGGACUGCAUUGGAAACUGUUGAACUAGAGUGCAGGAGAGGUAAGUGGAAUUCCUAGUGUAGCGGUGAAAUGCGUAGAUAUUAGGAGGAACAUCAGUGGCGAAGGCGGCUUACUGGACUGUAACUGACGUUGAGGCUCGAAAGCGUGGGGAGCGAACAGGAUUAGAUACCCUGGUA
rnacentral:rRNA from 1 species